rnacentral:rRNA from 1 species
CCUGCGCGCGCCUAUAAUGCAAGUCGAACGAACAUCGCAAGAUGUUAGUGGCGAACGGGUGAGUAAUACGUAGGUAACCUAACUAUGAGACGAGGAUAACUACUGGAAACGGUAGCUAAAACUGGAUAGGAUGGAAACAUUUAAAGAUGCUUAUGGCAUCACUAAUAGAAGGGCUUACGGCGCAUUAGCUAGUUGGUAGGGUAAAGGCCUACCAAGGCGACGAUGCGUAGCCGACCUGAGAGGGUGACCGGCCACACUGGGACUGAGACACGGCCCAGACUCCUACGGGAGGCAGCAGUAGGGAAUCUUCGGCAAUGGACGAAAGUCUGACCGAGCAACGCCGCGUGAGUGAAGAAGGUCUUCGGAUUGUAAAGCUCUGUUAUUAGGGAAGAAAGAAAUUAGUAGGAAAUGACUAAUAAGUGACGGUACCUAAUGAGAAAGCCACGGCUAACUACGUGCCAGCAGCCGCGGUAAUACGUAGGUGGCAAGCGUUGUCCGGAAUUAUUGGGCGUAAAGAGUGCGUAGGCGGUCUAUUAAGUCUCAUUUGAAAGCCCAUGGCUUAACCAUGGAGGGUGAUGGGAAACUGAUAGACUUGAGUAAAGGAGAGGAAGGUGGAAUUCCACGUGUAGCGGUGAAAUGCGUAGAGAUGUGGAGGAACACCAGUGGCGAAGGCGGCCUUCUGGCCUUAGUCUGACGCUGAGGCACGAAAGCGUGGGGUAGCAAACACGAUUAGAUACCCUGGUAGUCCACGCCGUAACGAUGAGUACUAAGUGUUGGGGGAAACCUCGGUGCUGAAGUUAACGCAUUAAGUACUCC